UUGACCUCAGAUCGGGUAGGAAUACCCGCUGAACUUAA
rnacentral:rRNA from 3 species